CUAAUCCUGUAAUCCACCUGUUUCAGUAUUCAGUUAGUAACAGACACUGCUCAGUUAGCUAAGAUUACUAACACCUCUGUCCAGAAAUUAAGACUUCAAAGUAACCAAUUUACACCUACUGAACGGAAUCAAUUUGAAAUGUUAAUGACAACAUUCAGUACAGCUGGAAUAAAGUUUAAAAAUCUCCAGAGGUUAACUCAAAACAUGGAGCGACAGGCGCUUAACAGGGCAAGACAGGUACAUGUACUAAUAUUAUGAGCAUACUCACAUACGUGCACAUGUAAACCAUUUGUAAAAGGAAACUAGGUUCAUGUAGAUCUACUAAUUCACAUGUAAAUGUUACCAUAAUACAUUUGAUGUACAGUGUAUGUGUACAUUAAUUGAUACAAGGUCUUAGAAACACAAGUUAGUAUAGUACAUGUACAUGUACAUGCUUAGUGCUCUUAACGAAUCUCAGUUCAUAGUAUUAUAAUGUAUGUGGAUAACAGAGCCUGAAAUAACAGUCAGACAUUGAACAUUUUCUGACCAUUUGCUCAAUUGUUCAACCAAAUUCUGUCUUCUACCAUUUUGUCUGAACUAUAUAAUUUUUGAAAUAAAUUUAUUAAAAGCAAAGUAAUGCAACAACAUGUUCUCCCACAAAGCAUGCUUAUAGUGAACAGGAGCUUCAGGAGCUGACAAGUACUACAAUAGAGUCGUGGCAUUUGGAGCAACUUUUAAAAUUCAUAAAAAAUCCAAAUUCAAUCGGAAUUAGCCCAAACUUUCU